UCGUUGUAUAUGUAGUAAUAAUCAUUCCUCUAACAGGAAAAGCUAACGAAACGGUUUAAAUCGGUGAUGCUGAGACUGAACAACUCCACACUUUCAGCUAAAUUUUCACUUCACAAUGCAUUCAUCUUCUUCCUUAAGCUCUUGUUUAUCACUAAAAUCUCACUCACUAACCUCCUUAAUCACCAGCACCAACGAUAACUCCAGAAGCAAGAAGAUCAAGCCUCAUGUACUGCAAGUCUCUGCUUUUUCUUACCAGAAAUUCAUUCAUUUUGCUCUCAGUGAAGCCAAAAGCCGCACCGUUUUGGUCGCUUCUCCUCUCCAGGAAAAGUUUAACUCCAUGACUGCAAUGGAUGGAAGAACGGAGCUUAAAAUGCUGUCAUUCCAAGCUUCCAAGAUUAGACUCCUGCGUAGUUUGAGCAUUGAAAAUGAGGCAAUGCAGGUUUUGGAUUUUGCUGCCUUUGCCAGACCAGAAUUUGAUGUACCUAUAUUUUGUGCCAAUUUUUUCACUGCUGCCAGCAUGAACAUAAUUGUGUUGGAUCUUAACCCCUUGCACAAUCUCAUUGACAAAAGUGAUUACAAGGAGAAGUACUACAAAAGCUUAUUUCCUGUAGGUCUCAAGUAUGCAGAGCUUUUUCCUUGGGGUGGAAAGCUCACAAGUGAGUCCUUGCAAUUUUUCUCACCGGUUGUAAUAUGGACCAAGUUUACUACAAGCCAGUACAGACAUGAUGAUCUAUAUUCUGCAUUUGUGGAUUACUACAAGGCAUGGCUUGAGCUGGUUGACCUAGCUGUGGAAGAGAAAGAUGCAUCUCAAAUUAUAUGCAACCGUGAAGCGCAACAUAAGUAUCUAACUUGGAGAGCAGAAAAGGUGAUUUACCUCUCAUUCCUGAAUUUGUCAUGCAGUGCAUCACGGCUCGUUAACAGGGGGCGGUCGGCUAAUAAGUAUUGAACUGAUUGGCCCAUACCUUGUCUAUUGCUCACGUCAUGUCACUCAGCCCUACCGCACGUGCAAGUCAGCUCUACUGCACGAGCAAUCAUGACCUAACAAUUUCUCGCGUGCUUCAGAGAGGUCUGCUCAUCGAUUCCGAGUUUUGAAGAGGUCAACCCAUCUGUUUUAGGCCUUGGUAAGGUCAGGGGUGCUGGAAGUCUGAUUUUUAUAUCUUAUAGGUCGGAUUUCUCACUGCGAUCCGUGGAAUGGUUCUUGGAGUUUUUAUGUAUUGUGUGCACACGUAUCAUAAUCUUAAUGGGUCCUAUUAUUCUUAUGUUAUCAGGGUGAUAUCAUUAUUUGUUUGUCUGUAUCACAUGGGCUUGUGGUUAGCCCUUUCCAUUUGCGGAUUAGGUUAAUUGUUUAUAUGGAGUUGUACGUUUCUUCAAAUUGAGUCUUGGAAAACGCUUACAAUACCAACAAAGUAUUGUAAGGUUCUUACAGAUCAAGUUACAAAGAUGUAAUCUUUAUUUUUGACGGUCUUCUCCUGGGCCAUGUCUGUAUUUAAUUUUAAGGAAAAGAUAUAUUGUAGUAGAACUUGAUCAGAUAGGUAGAUUCCCUUUAUUCUUUCGUUUGCAACUUUUGUGUGUGAUUUAUCUCAUUUACCUGGCUCACUCACCACUUGGAAAGCAGGAUCCAGGCCAUGGAGUUCUGAAAAGGUUGAUUGGUGAAAGUCUUGCGAAGGAUGUAAUAAGGAACUUCCUCUUCAGUGGAAUUGAUGAACUAGGAAGCAAAGGGUUCCUCGAUUAUUUUCCAGAGUACCGCUGCAAUGACGGGAAUAUAAAUGAGAAACGCAGUAUAAUUGGGAAGUCUUUUGAAUGUCGUCCAUGGGACGCAAAAGGAGAAUUCAUUGGUAACAAUAUGAAAAUUUAGUGCAUUAUAUUGUAUUAUGGCUAAUCCUUUUUUCUGUUUCCCUUUUUCCUUUUACCUGUUAAAUUCUGAAUCUAGAAACUUGUUUAGCACCUGUAAUCUUCCUAAGGAAUAUGUGUAACAUUAUGUAGUAUGACACACCUUCUAUUGUAUAUCUAACACAUUAUGUGUAUUCAGGAAAGUAUGCAUUGUAACAGAAACUGGUGCAACAGUGUCAAAUUGUUUCAGCUUACUUGACGAGUGUAUGGAAACUUUUGUCAAAUGUGAAACAUAUAUUUUCUUUUCUACA